rnacentral:rRNA from 1 species
UACGUAGGGGGCAAGCGUGUUCGGAAUUACUGGGCGUAAAGGGCGCGUAGGCGGCACGGCAAGUCAGGAGUGAAAGCCCUGGGCUCAACCCGGGAACUGCUUUUGAAACUGCCGAGCUAGAGUGCGGAAGGGGCAACUGGAAUUCCCAGUGUAGCGGUGAAAUGCGUAGAUAUUGGGAAGAACACCUGAGGCGAAGGCGGGUUGCUGGGCCGACACUGACGCUGAGGCGCGAAAGCCAGGGGAGCGAACGGGG